UACGUAGGGCGCAAGCGUUUGUCCGGAAUUAUUGGGCGUAAAGAGCUCGUAGGCGGUCUGUCGCGUCGGAUGUGAAAGCCCGGGGCUUAACCCCGGGUCUGCAUUCGAUACGGGCAGACUAGAGUGUGGUAGGGGGAGAUCGGAAUUCCUGGUGUAGCGGUGAAAUGCGCAGAUAUCAGGAGGAACACCGGUGGCGAAGGCAGGUCUCUGGGCAUUAACUGACGCUGAGGAGCGAAAGCAUGGGGAGCGAACAGG
rnacentral:rRNA from 1 species